rnacentral:rRNA from 1 species
GAUGAACGCUGGCGGCGUGCCUAAUACAUGCAAGUCGAGCGAAUGGAUUAAGAGCUUGCUCUUAUGAAGUUAGCGGCGGACGGGUGAGUAACACGUGGGUAACCUGCCCAUAAGACUGGGAUAACUCCGGGAAACCGGGGCUAAUACCGGAUAACAUUUUGAACCGCAUGGUUCGAAAUUGAAAGGCGGCUUCGGCUGUCACUUAUGGAUGGACCCGCGUCGCAUUAGCUAGUUGGUGAGGUAACGGCUAACCAAGGCAACGAUGCGUAGCCGACCUGAGAGGGUGAUCGGCCACACUGGGACUGAGACACGGACCAGACUCCUACGGGAUGCAGCAGUAGGGAAUCUUCCGCAAUGGACGAAAGUCUGACGGAGCAACGCCGCGUGAGUGAUGAAGGCUUUCGGGUCGUAAAACUCUGUUGUUAGGGAAGAACAAGUGCUAGUUGAAUAAGCUGGCACCUUGACGGUACCUAACCAGAAAGCCACGGCUAACUACGUGCCAGCCGCCGCAGUAA